GGUGAGAUGGCCGAGCGGUCUAAGGCGCUACGUUAAGGUCUUCAAAACCUUAAAACAUCUGUUAUCCGUAGUCCGAAAGGGCGUGGGUUCGAAUCCCACUCUCAUCA
rnacentral:tRNA from 1 species